rnacentral:rRNA from 1 species
GACGAGGGGGCUAGCGUUGCUCGGAAUCACUGGGCGUAAAGGGCGCGUAGGCGGACUCUUAAGUCGGGGGUGAAAGCCCAGGGCUCAACCCUGGAAUUGCCUUCGAUACUGAGAGUCUUGAGUUCGGAAGAGGUUGGUGGAACUGCGAGUGUAGAGGUGAAAUUCGUAGAUAUUCGCAAGAACACCAGUGGCGAAGGCGGCGCUCUGGGCCGGUACUGACGCUGGAGGAGCGAAAGCGUGGGGAGCAAACAGG